rnacentral:misc_RNA from 1 species
AACACUGUUAACCUGCGGUACCUGCGGAAGGAUCAUUAACAAGCUGUGGGAGAUCAAUUUGAUCUCACACCUGGCCAACCUUGUUAACCUUAAAUAUAUUGCUUUGGUGAGCCCUGCUCACCAAAGUCAAACCCUAAACUCUUGAUUGUUUCUGCUGUCUGAGCAUGCAAGUGCAAAAUUUAGUUAAAAACUUUUAACAAUGGAUCU